rnacentral:misc_RNA from 1 species
UCCUGGCACAGGGAAAGCA